GAGUUUGAUUCUGGCUCAGGAUGAACGCUGGCGGCGUGCCUAAUACAUGCAAGUCGAGCGAGAAUUUGACAAGUGGAGACUUCGGUCAAAGCGAGUCAAAGGAAAGCGGCGGACGGGUGAGUAAUGCGUGGGUAACCUGCCCUUUGGAGAGGGAUAGCAGUUGGAAACGGCUAUUAAUACCUCAUAAGCGCACAGUUUCGCAUGAAACGGUGUGAAAAGAUUUAUCGCCAAAGGAUGGACCCAUGUCCGAUUAGUUAGUUGGUGAGGUAACGGCUCACCAAGACCGCGAUCGGUAGCCGACCUGAGAGGGUGAUCGGCCACAUUGGGACUGAGACACGGCCCAAACUCCUACGGGAGGCAGCAGUAGGGAAUAUUGCACAAUGGGGGAAACCCUGAUGCAGCAACGCCGCGUGAACGAUGAAGGAUUUCGGUCUGUAAAGUUCUUUUGCUAGGAAAGAUAAUGACGUACCUAGCGAAUAAGCACC
rnacentral:rRNA from 1 species